AGUUUAGCUAAUGUUGCCCGUACCGUAAACCGACACAGGUGGGUGGGAUGAGUAUUCUAAGGCGCGUGGAAGAACUCUCUUUAAGGAACUCUGCAAAAUAGCACCGUAUCUUCGGUAUAAGGUGUGGUUCGCUUCGUAUUAGGAUUUACUCCGAAAGCGAAGAAACUUACAACAAAGAGUCCCUCCCGACUGUUUACCAAAAACACAGCACUCUGCUAACUCGUAAGAGGAUGUAUAGGGUGUGACGCCUGCCCGGUGCUCGAAGGUUAAUUGAUGGGGUUAGCAUUAGCGAAGCUCUUGAUCGAAGCCCGAGUAAACGGCGGCCGUAACUAUAACGGUCCUAAGGUAGCGAAAUUCCUUGUCGGUUAAAUACCGACCUGCAUGAAUGGCGUAACGAGAUGGGAGCUGUCUCAAAGAGGGAUCCAGUGAAAUUGUAGUGGAGGUGAAAAUUCCUCCUACCCGCGGCAAGACGGAAAGACCCCGUGGACCUUUACUACAGCUUGACACUGCUAUUUGGAUAAGAAUGUGCAGGAUAGGUGGGAGGCUUUGAGUAUAUGACGCCAGUUGUAUAUGAGCCAUUGUUGAGAUACCACUCUUUCUUAUUUGGGUAGCUAACCAGCUUGAGUUAUCCUCAAGUGGGACAAUGUCUGGUGGGUAGUUUGACUGGGGCGGUCGCCUCCCAAAUAAUAACGGAGGCUUACAAAGGUUGGCUCAGAACGGUUGGAAAUCGUUCGUAGAGUAUAAAGGUAUAAGCCAGCUUAACUGCAAGACAUACAAGUCAAGCAGAGACGAAAGUCGGUCUUAGUGAUCCGGUGGUUCUGUGUGGAAGGGCCAUCGCUCAAAGGAUAAAAGGUACCCCGGGGAUAACAGGCUGAUCUCCCCCAAGAGCUCACAUCGACGGGGAGGUUUGGCACCUCGAUGUCGGCUCAUCGCAUCCUGGGGCUGGAGCAGGUCCCAAGGGUAUGGCUGUUCGCCAUUUAAAGCGGUACGCGAGCUGGGUUCAGAACGUCGUGAGACAGUUCGGUCCCUAUCUGCCGUGGGCGUAAGAAGAUUGAAGAGAUUUGACCCUAGUACGAGAGGACCGGGUUGAACAAACCACUGGUGUAGCUGUUGUUCUGCCAAGAGCAUC
rnacentral:rRNA from 1 species